rnacentral:rRNA from 1 species
UCGAUUAGAUACCCGGGUAGUCCCAGCCGUAAACGAUGCUCGCUAGGUGUCAGACAUGGCGCGACCGUGUCUGGUGCCGCAGGGAAGCCGUGAAGCGAGCCACCUGGGAAGUACGGCCGCAAGGCUGAAACUUAAAGGAAUUGGCGGGGGAGCACAACAACGGGUGGAGCCUGCGGUUUAAUUGGACUCAACGCCGGACAACUCACCGGGGACGACAGCAAUAUGUAGGCCAGGCUGAAGACCUUGCCUGAAUCGCUGAGAGGAGGUGCAUGGCA